rnacentral:rRNA from 1 species
UACGAAGGGGGCUAGCGUUGCUCGGAAUGACUGGGCGUAAAGGGCGCGUAGGCGGUGAACACAGUUAGGCGUGAAAUUCCCGGGCUCAACCUGGGGGCUGCGUUUAAUACAUGUUCGCUUGAGUUCGGAAGAGGGUCGUGGAAUUCCCAGUGUAGAGGUGAAAUGCGCAGAUAUCGGGAAGAACACCCGUGGCGAAGGCGGCCAUCUGGACGGCAAUUGACGCUGAGACGCGAAAGCGUGGGUAGCAAACAGG